rnacentral:lncRNA from 1 species
UCAUCUGUCUCAGCUUGACAGUAAUUCCAGGGUCACACUCACCGUGGAAAGCUCUUUUUCUCUCAGUAGCUGUCAACAUGGAAUAAAGUGAUUAAAAGUGUUAAAAAUCAUAUAUAAUAAAUGGCGCCAAUAUAAAACUUAAUGCCCCUAAUAUUUCCUCAGAGUUGCUACCUUUUCAUUAAUUAAAGCAAGAAAUGUUCCACUUAGUUAAAAUAGCUACUUAGUAUCCUGCUCAUAAACACAUCUGCAGCCCAAGUUCACUGGUUCAGUGGGUUUAAAUUAGUUGGUAUCAAUGUUAUUGAUGAUACGAGGAUUCAGAGCGCAUGCUGAGGCUGUGAGGAGGGUGAUGCUCUGGGCUUCCGUAUUCUCCGCAGGCACGGACUCGGGGCUCUGCUGGGGUGUGCUGGCGAGCUGACCGCAGGGUCUUAUAACAAAAGCUACAAGGAGGACCACCACAGGCCACCUGAUGGAGACCCUGGCAUCACAGUGGAUCCUUUGCUGCAAUGAAUGGAAACUGAUCCUGCUGUGUGCCUGAGGGAGAACAACACUGUUAUUGAACAUCUAUCUUAUAUACGAGGCAAGGCAGAGCCCAGUGGUUAAAGGCACUGACUCCAGAGUCAGGCAGCUUUGGGUUUCAAUCUGGCUCUGCCACUCCCUACACAUCCUUGGGCACAGCACUUAAUCUCGCUGAGCUGCUGUCUUUAUCUGCAAAAUGGAGAUAGUAACAGCACCUGAGUCCUGAGGUUAUUGUGAGGAUGAAGUCCACCUGUCACUUAGCACAGCGCCAGGCACAUGCCAAAGAACAGGAGACUGAGCCCUGGAACGUGAAGAUUUUGCCCAAUAUCACACAGCCUGAAAAUGACGAUGAAACUCAAGCAUCCGCCUCCAGAGACUGUGUGAUGACUCUCGACUAUCCAUAGCCCUUCGAGGAGCUCGAUCACUUGUGGGCACACAGCAGGGACCUAAUCAAGAGACACUAGCCCUAACCUUUCUCUGAAGGCAAACCCUCUCCUCAGUGCCCCUGCACACUGAUCCUCUUCCCACAUCUAGGUCUUUGCGAAGAAGGGGCUCCCUGCCUGAAAUACCUUUCCUGUUUCUCUCCUCACCACAAUACCCUCCAUGUUUAUCAAGGCCAGAGGGAAGAUCUACUUCCUCCAGGAAGCCGACAGGGAUCACAACGGGACAAAUGGGUUAAUCUUAAACUCCAAAUAUUCUAUCUGUAGUGAAAGUAUGUUUUUUGUUUUAUUGCCUGCCUAUGUCAUUAAUCACUCCUUCUGGAAAUAACCUCCAAUUUUCUUCUGAGGGAGCCAGCACAUCCAAAUUAUCAGUCCAGGUGAUUUAUCUGAAGCUCAACUCCAACCCCAGGCUCCAAGAAUGAGAUACCACCCAACCUGGGCCAACUACCGUACCUCAGGAUGUUCGUUAAACCUAUGUUGGGAAAUAGACACAAUUUUUAUUCUGGGGUGGACAAGCUGGUAGGGUGUAGACCCUGGAGAUGCCUGUGCCCAUCUUUUCCCUUACUGAGGAGAGACUGGUUAAGAAUCAAGAAUAAAACAAAAGGAGAUAUAUACCCAAUGGCAUUAUUUGAACUCCUUGAUCCAGCCAUAUCUGAAUCAGUUAAGUGUUCUAAUACAUGUAUUCUUUUCUCCUGAAGCCAUUUUGAGUUGAGUUUCUACCACUUGCAACUAAAAGACUCUUAAUGCACACACAUUCUUCAACAUUUUAGCCCUGCAGACUCACCCUUUCGUAAUUUUCUAUUACAAAGAAUGUAUUCUAUUACCCCAGAGAUCUUAUAGGCUCCUUAAGGACAGCAGCAGAUUCCUUUUCUAAGGGACCAAGAACUUAUAAGAGAGUUCAG